AGAAAGUUUGACAUCCAAUGAUCCAUUCCAUCCGCCAAACGCCAUUCUCUUUUAUGAGAUCGACCAGCCAAGACCCUUCCUGGCAUAAAGAUUUUUGACAGUUGACGACGGCCAUGUUUGUGUGAGACGUUAUGGGCCCUGCUGAAGGUCCUCUUCUUCUCAGGAAAAUAAGAUUGGGUUAAGGAGAUAUUGUAUUGCAUCUGUAAAUGAUGACCAUUGAUUUGAUCAGUCACGCAGUCUGGAAGAUGGCAGUGAGUGGUUACCAGUGACAGGGUCCCUCCAUGUUGUUUUGUUAAGUAACAUCUCUGCAGUUUGGAAUGUACAAAAGAGCCCAUCACGUGUAGAAGUUAAAAUGGAAAAAUGAAGGCAUGUAUCUCAUUGGUGCCAGGUCUUCCCUGUGCUAUCAUGCUAGUGGAGGCCCUGUACUAUACUGUAGUCUUCAGAAACGAUCCCCGAGUGGGUUCUAGGACAGUUUGAUACUGGACAUUUUGAUACCGGACAUUUAGAUACCGGACAUUUUGUUACCGGAUAUUUUGUGACUAGGCUUUUUCACUACCGGACAUUUCGAUACCAUUAUAUAAAGUAUAAAUCCAAAUUAUGUAUCAAAAGUAAGGAGUUAAAAGUACAAAUAAAAAAAUAUAUAGACAAAGAUUUAUUAAUUUGUAAAACACAGUACAAGUAUGAUUAAAGAAAAAGCAACAAUAUUAUCUAGUUAAAAAUUUUUAAUGUUAUGAGCAAUGCCACGAAGAUAUUGUAUUUUAUUUGGGGGGUCAUAUCGUUCCAGCAAUGUUUUUAUACGCCGAUCGGCGUCUCUGUAUUUUUUCUUUGAGGUUGCGCUGUCUCCACGAUUGAGAUGGGCAAUUCUUGUUGCACUGAGAGCCUCUUCAUGUUUUAAAGCAGUUAUAAGGGACCAAAUGUUAGGAUGCACAUUUGUCACUGACGUUCUUAGAGCAUUAUGAAAUCCUUCAACAUAGUUAUUGGUGCGUGGCAUACCAUUUUCAAUGCGUUCUUGAACAUUCCAUAAAUGAAUAGGGAAGGCUGGCUCGACUCUUCGCCUUCGUUGGCCACGACCCCUCACUCCUCCAAUAUAAUUUGUUUCGUAAUAUGCAACAAGCUCUUGCGGAAAAUCGUCGUCAUCAGUUAAUUCUUCGAAGCCGUCAAUAAUAUCGUCAAUGGGAAGGAAAGCAAGCGCGGGUAAACAUCUCACUUUUAAACUAAAAUUAUCAUCUUGGUGAUAUUGAUGUUUGGAACCUAAUGUUACAACUUGUUUGUAAACAUUUUGUGACAGGUGAGAUAGGCAACAAGAAACAUCUGAAUUAGGGAAAAUAUCUAAUAAACUAUUGAUGGCUGCUUUUUCAAAAUCCAUCAUCACAGUGGCUGAUUCGACAUUAUGCAAGAGUUCUUUUAUAGUAGUAAAUAGUCUAGCAUAAGUAUCUUGUAUCUUAUUUGGCAACAAGGCGAACAUUCUCGGAACACUAAUGCCGUUGUCUUGAAUAUGUAAAGUGUACAGUUGAUAAUAAAUAAUUGGGCUACACUUAAAAGUUCCAUCUACGGCCCAACUUUUGGCUCUUUUGAUGUCACUAAUUCCCGAGUCAGUAGCAAAUAUUAAAAUUCUUUCAGUGUCAUGUUCUCCACUGUCAAACUGUAGCCACUUCAAACCAUUUUCAAGGUAACAAUACUGAUCAGGAAUCAAAUAACCAUGCCGUACCUGAGGUAUAGGCGGUACAUUUUCUUCUAUUUGUCUCCAACGCCUGACACUACGACUCAACGAAGAUACUGAAACUAAUUCUGAAAUAGCACAUACAUUCAGAUUUUGGGUUUCUUUACAUAUUAUAGUACGAGGAGCAUCUUGUGUUGAACCAGACAUUAUUUUCAUUUGAUGAUGUGCUGAUUUUGAUUCCACUCUUGCCGCUGUAGCACUGUGAUUAUGCUCACCUACAGUCUUGACGAUUUUGUUGUCAUUAUCACCAACAUAGGUGUGUACGCGGGCUUUACACAUCCUAUUUUCGCACUGCCAAUACUGCUUUGAACCAUCCUUAUUAGUUUUGUGUUUAUCAUAUGUAUAGUUUAGAUCAUCCACUAAUUUUUUUCCAUUUUUUGUUGAAGCAAUUAGACGAGCCAUGGGUGAUACAAUAAGAAUAUCUAUACUUAUCGUUGAUAGCUGAACGUUAGUAGUUGACCCUUUGGUAGUAGACUGAGAGUGAUAAAAAACUGAGAAUAUUUAGGUUCCGACCAAUGUUUACUAUAAAUAGCAGGUGUUUGAAAAAAAAAUAAAACAACCAAUUACAAGAAAAUGUGGCAAUUAUAUCAACAACCAAUUAUAAGAAGAGUGUGGCCCUCAAAAGAAACUCUUAUCUUCGCGCACAGACAUAGUGGUAUCGAAAUGUCCGGUAGUAAAAAAUCCUAGUCACAAAAUGUCCGGUAACGAAAUGUCUGGUAUCAAAAUGCCCGGUAUCAAUAUGUCCAAUAUCAAACUGUCCGGUCACCCCCCGAGUGACCUACAGGACAAGAGUGAUCCAGACGAUACAACCAAGAUAGAGAUCAAGGGAGAAAGAAAAUGUAACUCAGGUGAUAAAGACAGAGAAAGUGUUAUACAGGUGAUAAAAGGAAGAGGAGAUGCAAACCCCAUAUUUACAGAGAGAGAAUGAAACCAGGUGAGAAGCCAGGUGACAUCAAGAGAACGAGGAGAGACAAGAGGAUCGCCGAUAACCUUUAAAACCUAAAUAUGAAGCUGGUAAUCCAGGGCUGUUUUUAAAAAAUAUUCUGGACGCCUCAACUUACACACAACACUGCUAUGCAGAGCUGAAAUUGGUUUGGUUUGGUGUCUGGAAUGGGGCUCCUAAAUUUUUCCUUGUAG